rnacentral:rRNA from 1 species
AUUGAACGCUGGCGGCAUGCCUUACACAUGCAAGUCGAACGGCAGCACGGGAGCAAUCCUGGUGGCGAGUGGCGAACGGGUGAGUAAUAUAUCGGAACGUGCCCUAGAGUGGGGGAUAACUAGCCGAAAGAUUAGCUAAUACCGCAUACGAUCUAAGGAUGAAAGUGGGGGAUCGCAAGACCUCAUGCUCGUGGAGCGGCCGAUAUCUGAUUAGCUAGUUGGUGAGGUAAAAGCCCACCAAGGCGACGAGCAGUAGCUGGUCUGAGAGGACGACCAGCCACACUGGGACUGGGAAACGGCCCAGACUCCUACGGGAGGCAGCAGUGGGGAAUUUUGGACAAUGGGGGCAACCCUGAUCCGGCAAUGCCGCGUGAGUGAAGAAGGCCUUCGGGUUGUAAAGCUCUUUUGUCAGGGAAGAAACGGUUUUGGCUAAUAUCCAGAGCUAAUGACGGUACCUGAAGAAUAAGCACCGGCUAACUACGUGCCAGCCGCCGCCGUAAAAC